AUUGAACGCUGGCGGCAGGCUUAACACAUGCAAGUCGAGCGGAGAUGAGGUGCUUGCACCUUAUCUUAGCGGCGGACGGGUGAGUAAUGCUUAGGAAUCUGCCUAUUAGUGGGGGACAACAUUCCGAAAGGAAUGCUAAUACCGCAUACGUCCUACGGGAGAAAGCAGGGGAUCUUCGGACCUUGCGCUAAUAGAUGAGCCUAAGUCGGAUUAGCUAGUUGGUGGGGUAAAGGCCUACCAAGGCGACGAUCUGUAGCGGGUCUGAGAGGAUGAUCCGCCACACUGGGACUGAAACACGGCCCAGACUCCUACGGGAGGCAGCAGUGGGGAAUGUUGGACAAUGGGGGGAACCCUGAUCCAGCCAUGCCGCGUGUGUGAAGAAGGCCUUAUGGUUGUAAAGCACUUUAAGCGAGGAGGAGGCUACUGAGACUAAUACUCUUGGAUAGUGGACGUUACUCGCAGAAUAAGCACCGGCUAACUCUGUGCCAGCCGCCGCAGUAAUAC
rnacentral:rRNA from 1 species